rnacentral:rRNA from 1 species
GAUGAACGCUGGCGGCGUGCCUAAUACAUGCAAGUCGAGCGAACAGACGAGGAGCUUGCUCCUCUGACGUUAGCGGCGGACGGGUGAGUAACACGUGGAUAACCUACCUAUAAGACUGGGAUAACUUCGGGAAACCGGAGCUAAUACCGGAUAAUAUAUUGAACCGCAUGGUUCAAUAGUGAAAGACGGUUUUGCUGUCACUUAUAGAUGGAUCCGCGCCGCAUUAGCUAGUUGGUAAGGUAACGGCUUACCAAGGCAACGAUGCGUAGCCGACCUGAGAGGGUGAUCGGCCACACUGGAACUGAGACACGGUCCAGACUCCUACGGGAGGCAGCAGUAGGGAAUCUUCCGCAAUGGGCGAAAGCCUGACGGAGCAACGCCGCGUGAGUGAUGAGGGUCUUCGGAUCGUAAAACUCUGUUAUUAGGGAAGAACAAAUGUGUAAGUAGCGAUGCACGUCUUGACGGUACCUAAUCAGAAAGCCACGGCUAACUACGU